UAUGUGAAUUGUUGGAAUGCAUAACUUAAUUUUAGUUGGCUAGCGCCAUUAUAAAAAGCCACAAAGCUGCAAGUUGCAACUCAAUGCAUUCAAAUCUUUGAAUCACACCUUUUAAAGUUUCAUCCCCCUCUAAACCAUUCAAUUUCUCAUCUAGAGAAAUAGUUAUGUCAGGAAGAUCAGAAAGAUCUGCAAUUUUUUUGGUCAUAUUCGUGAUGUUGUUUGCCAUCCAAAUAACUAAUGCAUCAACUACUUCUAAUGUUGGAGAUGUCAAUGUGCUUGGAAAAUCAAGCAGUGACACGUCAUUUCCAUGCUCUACGGAUGCCGAUUGCAUAAAAGUGUACUGCGGCCACGGGGAAGAUGCCGUAUGUGUCUAUGGACAGUGCUUCUGUCCAUGAACACAAGCUUCACAGGCUAAUUAUGGACCAAAACGAGUUCACAAGAUUGACCAAGACUGAUUUAUGUUGUGCACAAUUGAAAUCUGAUUUAUGUUUUUAUUUUUCGUUGUUAUUAAGGCUCAAUAAAAGCCCUUAGCUUAUAUACAUAUUGAUGUUGACAAA